UGAACGCUGGCGGCGUGCUUAACACAUGCAAGUCGAACGAACCUUCGGGUCAGUGGCGGACGGGUGAGUAACGCGUGAGAAUCUGCCCUCAGGAGGGGGAUAACGGCUGGAAACGGCCGCUAAUACCCCAUAUGCCGAGAGGUGAAAUGAAUUUCGCCUGAGGAUGAGCUCGCGUCUGAUUAGCUAGUUGGUAGGGUAAAGGCCUACCAAGGCUUCGAUCAGUAGCUGGUCUGAGAGGAUGAUCAGCCACACUGGGACUGAGACACGGCCCAGACUCCUACGGGAGGCAGCAGUGGGGAAUUUUUCCGCAAUGGGCGAAAGCCUGACGGAGCAACGCCGCGUGAGGGAUGAAGGCCUCUGGGCUGUAAACCUCUUUUAAUCAAGGAAGAAGAUCUGACGGUACUUGAUGAAUAAGCCACGGCUAAUUCCGUGCCAGCAG
rnacentral:rRNA from 1 species